UACGUAUGGAGCAAGCGUUAUCCGGAUUUACUGGGCGUAAAGGGAGCGUAGGCGGCCUGCCAAGUCUGAUGUGAAAUACCGGGGCUCAACCCCGGGGCUGCAUUGGAAACUGGGAGACUUGAGUGCAGAAGAGGAGAGUGGAACUCCAUGUGUAGCGGUGAAAUGCGUAGAUAUAUGGAAGAACACCAGUGGCGAAAGCGGCUCUCUGGUCUGUAACUGACGCUGAGGUUCGAAAGCGUGGGUAGCAAAAAGG
rnacentral:rRNA from 1 species